rnacentral:rRNA from 1 species
GCGGAGGAAAAGAAACCAACAGGGAUUGCCCCAGUACGGCGAGUGAAGCGGCAACAGCUCAAAUUUGAAAUCUGGCUCCUAGAGUCCGAGUUGUAAUUUGUAGAGGAUGCUUUUGAUGCGGUGCCUUCCGAGUUCCCUGGAACGGGACGCCAUAGAGGGUGAGAGCCCCGUCUGGUCGGAUGCCAAAUCUCUGUAAAGCUCCUUCGACGAGUCGAGUAGUUUGGGAAUGCUGCUCAAAAUGGGAGGUAUAUGUCUUCUAAAGCUAAAUAUUGGCCAGAGACCGAUAGCGCACAAGUAGAGUGAUCGAAAGAUGAAAAGCACUUUGAAAAGAGGGUUAAAUAGUACGUGAAAUUGUUGAAAGGGAAGCGCCUAUGACCAGACUUGGGCCCGGUGAAUCAUCCAGCGUUCUCGCUGGUGCACUUUGCCGGGCACAGGCCAGCAUCAGUUUGUCUUGGGGGAAAAAGGCUUUGGGAACGUGGCUCCCUCGGGAGUGUUAUAGACCAUUGCAUAAUACCCUGGGACGGACUGAGGUUCGCGCAUCUGCAAGGAUGCUGGCGUAAUGGUCAUCAGCGACCCGUCUUGA